rnacentral:rRNA from 1 species
UACGUAGGGGGCAAGCGUUGUCCGGAUUUACUGGGCGUAAAGAGCGUGUAGGCGGCCAAGCAGGUCCGUUGUGAAAACUGGAGGCUUAACCUCCAGACGUCGACGGAAACCGCGCGGCUAGAGUCCGGAAGAGGAGAGUGGAAUUCCUGGUGUAGCAGUGAAAUGCGUAGAUAUCAGGAGGAAUACCGAUGGCGAAGGCAGGUCUCUGGGCUAUAACUGACGCUCAUGCACGAAAGCGUGGGGAGCAAACAGG